AGCUUUGCGCAGGGGCAGUAUCGUAGCCAAUGAGGUUUAUCGGAGGCACGAUUAUUGCUAAUUGAAAAUACAAAAUUUGUUAUGCGUAGCUCCUCAAUAUAACACAGCACUAAGAUACAAUUAUCUUUUAUAUGA